UUAUGUGAACGUGGAGGUUAUGUGAAUGUGGAGUUUAUGUGAACGUGAAGUUGUGUAGUUUAUGUGAUGGUGCAUUUUUGUGUGUUUAUGAAGUUUUUGUUUUGGUUGUGUUCUUUUUCUCGUGCGUUUAGUGUUUUUCUUGUUUCGAUUGUGUUUUUGGCUGUGUUUUUUUAUGGGAGAGAGAGAGAGAGGGCGAUACCGUGACCCACUUGUGUCAUCCAAGCGUCAGUUACUUAGCUGUUCCAGCUAAACCAAGUCGCCUCCAAUUUUUUUUGCAGCUCCAUCUUCUGAAAACAAAACAUUUUGCGAUGUACUUUGAGCAGAGUAAUACUCGAACGAAAGUAACAAAAAUAACAGAGUUAUACUUAUGUCCACCCAAAGAUAUUCCAAGAAUAAAAUUUCAAAAUUUUCUAAUCUGACCCGUUGGCAUAAUCAAGAGUUUUUUUGUUUUGGUUAAAGGCAUAAUCAAGAGUUGCUAACUACUAAUAAUCAAUUAGAGAACCAGCUAACAUCUUAUGAACAUCACAAUGUAGUUAUUUCAUAAGCAUAGGCCAAGUUUUGGUGAUAUCAAGUCUUAAGACUAUCGUGUUUGUAAUAAUAUAUUACCUUUGAAGCUCUUUUUGAACAACUCUCUUUAUCUUCUCUGCUACGAGAAGCUGAUCAGCAAGCUUAGCUUUAUGAUUUUUUCCCGCAACUCUGCAAAGUAUACACGAAGAGAAUAUGUAACUGAGCCACAAAACAGCUUGAAGAGUUGUGGAUUUACCAAAAAGUGAAUUACGAAACUGAACCACAAAACUUAACAACCAAAGUUAUACAAUUGCAUCGAGAUUAGGCACACACAUGAUGAUAAAAAUUAAGACAAAACAGAGACAAAUCAUCACAAAAUAGUUCUUAAAAUGGCUCUUUGAUUUCAUAGUUAAUGAACCAAUUCAACAAAUCAAACACAAAUGCAACCAAAACCUAACAAUGCGUUGAUCAACCAAUGUAAUCAGAAGGAGGUUUAUAUACCUGAAAGAUUUGUGCCUAAUCAAAAGGAUUCUCUACGGAUUUGUGCAUAUUCAGAAGGAUUUCGAAAUCUAGAUUCAAUCACACAUGAAUUGACUAUCCCUGCAUAACAACACCAAACAAGAACCAAAAUUUCAGCGAGAAAGACAAAGACAGACACAAAACAAAAUUGAGAAAAAAAAAAACUCAAUCAUAAGUGAAAGACGCAAGAACAGAGAAUGAUCGAUUGCUUUGCUUGGGUGCUACUACCUCUAUCACACGACCUUUUAGAGAUUUACGAGAACAAAUGAGAGCAAACACAUGAAAGCUUGGUACCUGUGUAGAGUCGAUAUAUAGGGUUUUGCUGUUUGAACAAUGGAAGAGGCGGCUUGUAGGAAGAAGCAGAGAACCGCAAACUGAUUGGCUUUGAGGUUCCACUUAUCGGAGAAUAGAUUCCGGUGACCAAUCGGCGUCAUGUUCACCGCCUGUGACUCUUCAAAUCUGUUCUGAAAUAAUCGGAAAGAUAAUGAAAUGAGAUCAAUGAAUAAGAAAAACAAAAUCAAAAUCGAUAAGAUCAUCAUUCAUAGUUACCUGAUUCAUCAAUCGCAGGCUGGAUUGUUCAUCAUCAAUCUGUGAUCUAUCGUUCUUCAUCGAUCGAUUGAUUCUACAUGCUUCGCAGUACCGUUUUG
rnacentral:lncRNA from 1 species